UGGGGAAUUUUGGACAAUGGGCGCAAGCCUGAUCCAGCAAUGCCGCGUGCAGGAUGAAGGCCUUCGGGUUGUAAACUGCUUUUGUACGGAACGAAAAGCCUCUCUCUAAUACAGGGGGGUGAUGACGGUACCGUAAGAAUAAGCACCGGCUAACUACGUGCCAGCAGCCGCGGUAAUACGUAGGGUGCAAGCGUUAAUCGGAAUUACUGGGCGUAAAGCGUGCGCAGGCGGUUUUGUAAGACAGUGGUGAAAUCCCCGGGCUCAACCUGGGAACUGCCAUUGUGACUGCAAGGCUGGAGUGCGGCAGAGGGGGGAUGGAAUUCCGCGUGUAGCCAGUGAAAUGCGUAGAUAUGCGGAGGAACACCGAUGGCGAAGGCAAUCCCCCUGGGCCUGCACUGACGGCUCAUGCACGAAAAGCGUGGGGAGCAAAACAGGAUUAGAUACCCUGGUAGUCCACGCCCUAAACGAUGUCAACUGGUUGUUGGGGAUUUAUUUCUUCAGUAACGAAGCUAACGCG
rnacentral:rRNA from 1 species